UCUUUUUAUGCCUAAAACUACUUUAAAUGUGUUUUAAAUGAAAUAUUUUGCGUAGUUUUCGAGUUUGAAAGCGAUGAAAUUCAAAUCUUGCGAUAUGCAUAUUUUCUUUCGCUAGUUUACGCGCCAUUUUGUGUGACGUCAUAUGUGCCCUCGGGUUUGAAAACAUCUAUUAGCCAUUUCAUAAACAGAUUAGAUUUAAUCGACAAAAAACCUGGAUUGUCACGUUAACGACUUGUAAAUAAUAAUGCAUUAAGAUGUUUUGUGCCGUGCUCGGGUGUACUAGUUGUCGGUAGAAAGGAUUUAGACUGAGUAUUUUUCAAUUUUUCGAAGGAAGGUACGAGAAAAAAGACGUGGAUAAUUUUUUUGUUGGAGCAAGAACUUUACCUUAAAAAACACACCCAGUCACCUUUUCAAACAUCGCUUGGACAGAGACCCUGAUAAACUGCGAGAAAAUGGAUAUAUCGAAGCUAUAAGCACUGAAUCCCUAUGCCAGUGACCAUGACCUUGAAAACCAAAGGGAACCCAAAUCACUUUACAACGCACCAUUCCUGCAUGAUUGAUAAAAUUUAGGUAAGAAAUGUGGCUUAAAUGUUGCUACAGGUUUAACUACUAAUCAUAUGAAAAUGAUGAACAUAUAAAAAUGUACAAAAACAUGAAUGUAUUAAUGAAUUCAUUUAUUUACUAUAUCCCAACAGUCUGUUGAUUCUGGGUAAUUAAUACAGAUUAAUUUGCCUUCAUGCCAGAUUAAUCUCAUUUAAUUGACGGAAGAACUGUUUUCCAAUGUUGGCCGAUCUAAAAAUCGAACGAAUUAAUCAAAACCAAAGCCAUCAUAGUACGAGUUAAUGUGCAGAUAGCACUUCCUUUUCCGUCCCAGACAUGAGCAGAUUAGCACUGAAACAUAGCAGAUGCUCUCUAAGAAUUUUCCCACCCACCACUCCCCUUAUUACAGUAAUCUGCUGUCAGUUUUUGUUUUUCCAGACAUGGAACAAGCACCAACCAAAGGACUGGACGAUAGUCACACCACGAAGAAGAAGGAGCCAAUCCAAGCUGCAGUAUUUUGGACUGUUCAACUAAAAUCAGAGACAGUGCUGGUUUUUAAGAAUUUUAUUAAGAUUUAUAUAGUACUGCCUUCUUAGCAUAAAUACAGCAAAACUCUUGUCGCAUUGUAUUAAAGGGGGGGGGGGGGGGGUCCGUAGGGAUGGAUGGGAGGGUUGUGGGCAUAUCUGGCUCGUUGUUUCCCUGCCCAGCCAUCAUGCAUAGUGGUGGGCGCAAUGUUGGGUAGACAGGUUGUCUACAAAUAUAUGCCAUGUAGAGCAAUGUUAUCAAGUAAAAAAUGUGGGUAGACAGGUUGUCUACAAAUGUAUGCCAUGUAAGGCAAAGUUUUCGAUUGGGGUCAUAGCAAAGCCUGCAGGCUUGGGGCCCUCUCCACCUCUCAUAACAGGAGGGGAGACUUAGUACUGGAGUACUUGGGUAGAGAAGUACUACUGACCAGAAGCAAUCACCGGGAAACAGGGUAUACAGAUGUGCUCUCAACCAUCUCGGACCCAAAUGUCUAGUACCUAAAUUUGGGAUCCUUGGCACCUGCGCCCAACGCAGGGCCACUGGUUUUGUCCGGUACUUAUUAGUCGGUAUACCAGCUAUCCCUUCUGGACCCAGUUUUUUAUUGUAUAUCCCACAAUGCGGCCGUUUUCAAUGCCAAUUCCCAAAUGUCCAUCACAGUUCGGAACAUACGUUGUACCCUUUUGAUUAGUCUUUAAUAAACAUAAUAAACUAUAA